UACGGAGGGGGCUAGCGUUGUUCGGAAUUACUGGGCGUAAAGCGCGCGUAGGCGGAUCUGCAAGUCGGGGGUGAAAUCCCGAGGCUCAACCUCGGAACUGCCUUCGAUACUGCGGGUCUCGAGUCCGGGAGAGGUGAGUGGAAUUCCUAGUGUAGAGGUGAAAUUCGUAGAUAUUAGGAAGAACACCAGUGGCGAAGGCGGGUCUCUGGGCCGAUACUGACGCUGAGGAGCGAAAGCGUGGGGAGCAAACAGG
rnacentral:rRNA from 1 species